CCGGCCCCACCGGGAACCCGCCGGGAACCCGCCCGCGCGGCCCCGCGCCCCGGGGAUGAGGCGCCGUUACCGUGCCGGAGCCGCCGGAUGCUGUAUCAGCCAUCUUGGAGCCAUAUGGAGCUGUGCGCAUGCGCCAGUGGGAUCCUGGAAUUAGAGAAGGAAUAAGGAUGGAUGAAAUGCAGGAAGUUGUGUGAACUUGUUGGAACCUCUCAGCUGCUCAAGCUCGAUUUGCACUCUGCAGGAAGUAAAAGAAACACUUUUGAACGCUCUCGAUGCAGGAAACUAAAAAAAAUCAGAAAUCGCCGUGCUGCUGAGAGGUGUGAGCUGAGCACCCCCCAGGCCCUCCAGGCAGGGGACAGCACCCAGGCUGUGAAAAAUGCAUAUUUUAUCAGCUGAAUUUUGGUUCUAAAAUGCUGAUUUGGGAGCGAAAUGGAGAGUUCACCUGGGGCUGCCUCGCUCUGCUUCCGAGUCCGAGUCGAUGAAAAUGAGAUUUCACUGGAGAUUUCCUCGGGAAAAGGGAACUGAGGCACCAAACGGCUGCAAAAAUGACAAAGGAAGGCAAAAAAAUGCUCAGGAAAAAAAUCAGGUGAAAUGACACUUGGGAUCAGGAGGGAUUUCCCUGUGCAAUCAGGAAUUUCCACAUGGAAUUAGGAGGAAUUUUCCUGUGGAAUCAGGAGGAAUUUUCCUACAGGAUCAGGGGGAAUUUCCUCACGGGAUCAGGAAUUUCCACAUGGAAUCAGGAAGAAUUUUCCUAUGGAAUCAGGAAUUUCCUCGUGGAAUCAGCAGGAAUUUCCCCAUGGAACCAGGAGGAAUUUUCCUAUGGGAUCAGGAGGAAUUUCUCAUGGGAUCAGGAGGAAUUUUCCUGUGGAAUCAGGAGGAACUUCCCCAUAGAAUUAGGAGGAAAUUCCUCAUGGAAUCAGGAAUUUCCUCUUGGAAUUAGCAGGAAUUUUCCUAUGGAAUCAGCAGGAAUUCCCCCAUGGAAUUAGGAGGAUUUUCCCCAUGGGAUCAGGAGGAAUUUUCCUGUAGGAUCAAGAGGAAUUUCCCAUGGGAUCAGGAGGAAUUUCCUAUGGAAUCAGGAGGAAUUUUCCUGUGGAAUCAGCAGGAAUUUCCCCAUAGAACUAGGAGGAAAAUCCUCACGGAAUCAGCAGGAAUUUUCCCAUGGAAUCAGGAGGAAUUUCCUAUGGAAUUAGCAGGAAAUUCCUCAUGGAAUCAGGAAUUUCCUUUUGGAAUCAGGAGGAAAUUCCUCAUGGAAUCAGGAGGAAUUUUCCUGUGGAAUCAGCAGGAAAUUCCCCAUAGAACUAGGAGGAAAAUCCUCAUGGAAUCAGCAGGAAUUUUCCCAUGGGAUCAGGAGGAAUUUCCUAUGGAAUUAGCAGGAAUUUUCCUAUGGAAUCAGGAAUUUCCUCAUGGAAUCAGCAGGAAUUUUCCCAUGAGAAAUUUUCCCCCAGGCUCCAUCCCACCAGAACCAGCCCCACAUCCCUUGGAAAACUCCCACUUUUCCCCUCAUCACCAACAUUCCAGAACAACAAUCCCAAUUUUAUGAUCCAGCCAAGACCAACCUCACCCUGCCGAGCUCCUGGAAGCCACUGGGGGUUUAUUUAUCAUUUUUAAUCCCAAGGAAUUUCCUUUUUUUAACAUCCCCCAAGCCAGGAAACCGCCUAUCUAUGGCCAGCAGUGACCAAAAUUUGGUUUUCCUGGAAUUUUCCCCCCAUUUCCCUCCCCACACCCACACACUUUAGGCUUUUUAGGAUCCUGCAGUGUAAUUUUUUGCAUUUCCAGCCUGCCCCUGUGGCUUGCAGAGGCUCCACUUCUGCCCAGUCAUCAUCUGGAGGGAACAGCAGCUUGUGCAACGCUCCCUUCCCCCUUUUUUUGGGGCCACCACCCAAAAAACACCCCACAAACACCAAGAACAGGAGCAAACCCAACAAGUCUUGGACAAAAACCCACAAAAAAACACCCCAAAACUUUCAAUUUCCAAAGACACAGCCCCAAAACCAAAAGGGCCAAAAGGCACCGCUGUGGUUUCCACUUUGCUGGAGUCAAAAAUUGCUUUUUUUGUUAAAAAUGUGGGAUCUGGGGCCCUUCUCUUCCCCUGCACCCCGGAUUAAAAGCAGCUGACUGAUCCACAGGGCUCUCCCAUGGAUUCCUCAAAUAUUUCCUGCCCACACCAAGGGAUGUUUUCAUUGUAAGGUGAAAGAAAAUUGGGUGGAAAAAGGAGAUUUUGGCGAGUUCUGAUGUCACGCAGAAAAAUUCCUUCUUUGUCGCUGCUGGAAUUCUCUGCCCCUUUUUUUUCCCUUCAGUUCUGCCUCAUCCUCGAGUUUCUCAGCACAGCAAAUCCAUUAAAAAUUUCCCAUCCAUGCCAUAAAUUGCAUUAAUUGCAAUAAUUAAAUGGCACAAAGGGCGUCGUGGCUGUGACCUCGAUGUUCGCUGUCACAGGGGGCAUUUAGAGCUUCUAAAAAUCACAAAGAUUAUUUUUAUUUCGAAAAAAAAACCCCAAAAAAAACUCCUGAGCUGACAAAACAAAGCCUCCGGUCUUGCCUUACUUUGCACUUAUUAAUUUGGGGAGUUUGUUUGCAAUUUAAAUAUUCUUUAGAUGACAAAGAAGCAGCAAAAUGUGUCAAAAUGGCACAGGUGGAAGUGGCUGAAGUGACACUGGUGUGUGUGGGAGAAGCUGUGGUGGCACAUUUUUGUUCCUUCGCCUAAAAAUGAAUUUAUUUUCAGAGGAAUAGCCCAAAAAUGAGUUUAUUUCCAGAGGAACAGCCUAAAAAUCAGUUUAUUUCCAGAGGAACAGCCUAAAAAUGAGUUUAUUUCCAGAGGAAUAGCCCAAAAAUGAGUUUAUUUCCAGAGGAAUAGCCCAGCAGGAUCAGUCAGGGGCGUCACUUUGGGAUAAUUUUGGGAUUUAGGCUGUGUUUUAUCUGGAAAAACCAGAUUUUUUUUUUUUUUAAUAUAUUUUUUGCUGAUUUCUGACCUUUCCCAGCAGCAAAUUCGCAUCUUCCCAGCCCAGCAAGGAAUUCCAGCGGCUCAAGGACAAGCAGGAUCAGGUCCCAGCACAGGGCUGGGGAAGCCACAUUACAAAACUAUUUCAAAUUCCUUCAAAACUAUUCCAAAUUCCUUCGAGGACUUUUUCAAAGGUGUUCCCAAACAAAUGCGAAUUAUUCGGCUGACAAAGGCUUAUCUCGGCAGCCCCGCGCUUUUGUUAUCAUCUCCCGCGGUGAAUUUUGGAAGCGGCUGCGAAUAUGGGCACAGCUGAUUGUGUUUGCACAGCUUUGAAAAUACCGCGCU